AUACGGAGGAUGCGAGCGUUAUCCGGAUUUAUUGGGUUUAAAGGGUGCGUAGGCGGUUUUUUAAGUCAGCGGUGAAACGCAAGGGCUCAACCCUUGACCUGCCGUUGAAACUGGAGGACUUGAAUGCGGAUGCUGCGGGAGGAGUGUGUGGUGUAGCGGUGAAAUGCAUAGAUAUCACACAGAACACCGAUUGCGAAGGCAUCUCACAAAUCCGUGAUUGACGCUGAGGCACGAAAGUGUGGGGAUCAAACAGGAUUAGAUACCCUGGUAGUCCACGCAGUAAACGAUGAUGACUAACUGUCGGCGAUACACAGUCGGUGGCCAAGCGAAAGCGAUAAGUCAUCCGCCUGGGGAGUACGACCGCAAGGUUGAAACUCAAAUGAAUUGACGGGG
rnacentral:rRNA from 1 species